AUUAUACUCCCAGUUAAUCUGAAAAAGCUGGGUGCCUCUGUAGGCUCGUUUCUGGCAAAAGUUAUAAAAGUCUCUUUAUUAUAAGUACCUGUUCUGUUGCCUACCAUUAUCUGACAAGGUUACCCUCUGUUUUGCCCAUUCUCUUCCAUUAUCGGAGUGUGGAGCCUUGCCUGGGGAUUUUUCUUCCCUAUCUUCACCACUGAGUCAUUUAGCUGGCUUUUGGGAUGGAGCUGUUCCUCUGCUCAAGACAAAUUAAAUUGAGGCUCAAUUUUAUCACAGAAUCAUAGGCACUGGAAGGGACCUCUGAACAUCAUCUGCUAAAGUGCUACACUGAGGUGUCAUUUUGUACAAUAUGACGAGUAACUGAUACAAGUCGCUUGGGAUUUGGCGCUUAUGUGGUACCAUAACAUGUCAAUGCUAUAAAUGUCUAAAGCCUUGUGAGCUUCAGGAGUGUUCAGCUUAUUGGGAACUUGCCGGGUGUGGAAGCAGUUGUCAAUGGGGAACUUGCUACCCAAAACAAGAGUGGCAGUACUGAUGCCUCUAAUGGACCUUCCUGUGCCAAUGUUAUUCACCAUCUGCAUCUAUCAUCUGGAAAUAAAUGCACCCUAAGACUGAUUACAAACUUGCGGAGUCACUCAAAGGACACCAGAAUGUUUUAAAAAAAUAAUAAUUAAAAAAAAAAAAAAAAAGAGGACGAAUAGCAGUUAUUGAGUUAUUGCAAAUCUAGAUCACAGACAAGCUGGUCACAUUACAAUGAUCAGAAUUUUGAAGAAGCCAAGAAAGGAAAAACAAUUUAGAAGCAGUGAAUGUCAAUGAUCACUCUGAAAUAGUGAACCGUAUCUUCAAAAAGUAAGAAAGGGUUUAGAUGUUUCAUAAGACAAGAAUCUCAAGCCUUCAGUGCAAGACAGCACCCAAAAGGCCUGCUGAGAUCUGUAGCUGUUGAAAAGAGGUACUAAAAACCAGAGGAAAAAAGACAGAAAUUUAUUUCUGCAGGGCAUUGGCAAAAUGUCUGUCGAAGCACUUUGCUUAAUUCUGGUAACUAUCUUAACGAUGAUAAAAAAUUAAGGCCAGUGUAGAAAACAGGCUCCAAAGUCAUCCUAGAAGAUUCUUAGCAAUGAGAAAUACAAGAACAGUUAAAUCUAUGCAGGUAUCAGAAAGAUUACUCUAAGAUGAUUUGAUUGCAAAAUUUAAGUGCCUUCAAGGAGAGAAAAUACUGGGUAUUAACAGGCUCUUCAGCCCAGUGUAGAAGGACAUGGCAAAUCAGUGGCUGUAAGCUGAUGUUGGACAAACUAAUGUAGUAAUGGGACACAGUUUUAACUUUGUAAUCUCUGGUACAAGCUCCCAAGGGAAGUGUUUUUAGGUGCUGUGUUUCAAAUCAAGAUUCAGUGCUGCUCUGGAAAACAUCCUUUAGCUGUACAGAAGUUAUUGGGCUUGUUUCAUGGGUAACUGGGUAAAAUUUAGUGGUGGUGUAGUGUACAGGAGGUCACUCAAAAUGAUUAUAAUGGUCUUGUUUGCCUUUAAGCUCUAUCAAUAAAAGUUUAAGUUAAACUCAAGCUCUCAUCCUUCAUUCUGUAGACUAUGAUAGGUUGUUUGAAUUCCAUUUUAUUCUCUAGUACAAGCCUUGCUUUAUUGCCUCCAAUAUUUAUAUACAAGAAUUGAGGAGAGGUGACACUGCAGUUGCUCAUCCCUGAACCACACUGUGGCUUGUGCCCGUGAUGAGGACAGCCUAAGCUGUGACUGCUUGCUCAAGGACUGGAUUGUCUUUGUUGCUUUCUGAUAACACACAUUGCUGUGGCUUUAAGUGCCACGCAGCCCAGCCCGCUGUGUUUGGGGCGAGUCAGCUCUGCCAGCUUUAAUCACUCACUUUAGCCUUGUGAAGAGGAAGGAGCAGAAAACGCUGCUCAGCAAGGCUGCAAGGCCAUGAAAUUGCGUUAAGCAACAGUCAUGAAAAUGACUGGAUUUGCUAUUUUAGUGUAAGUGUCUAAAUGUUUUUGAAAUUGUAAUUUUCUUGUGCUGUUAUGUGUAAAGGUGACCGCUCUGUGUUGGGCCCCCGGCAGUUGGCUGCAGACAGCUCAUCAGCUUGAUUCAUUUGGCAGGGGGGUCAGUCAGCACCUUCUCUGCAGCUGCAAAGCAGGAUUGAGCUCCUCACUGAUUUGCAAGGAUAUAAUGACAUCUACUAGAAAAUGCAGAACUUUCUGAAGAUGCAUUACGGUUUAAUUUUUGUGGCAGCAAUAUUCCUACCAGGGGCGCAAAGAUUAUAAUCCUUAUUCAACUUGCUAGCAACCACUUCAGGAAUAGAAAGGGCAGUGUCACUUGAGGAAUCUCAAAUUCCUGCUGGGGAAGCAGGCCCGAAUGAAUACAUUUUUGCAAUCAUGUCUCUUUCUAUUUCACUUUCAUCUUGUGUUUAAAAUUGCAGUACUGUAAGAAGUAAGGCUUGCAUUGUUUGGGUACUGCUGAGUUUGGCCACAUGAUGGCACACAUCAGUCAAAUCAACGUUACAGUACCAUCUGGAGAACUGUGACUGGAGAGGAGUUAAAGCUGGUACUCAGGGCUCCAGUGCUCAGGGUUUGUGGUCCCUCACUGCCAGUUUGAUCCACAGUUUACCAUCAUCGGUGAGGGUCAGUGAUCGUGACUCAGCCACAAGCUGGAGGAAAACAAAACAAAACAAAACAAAAGGCUAUCUUUCCAGAAGGACUGCUGGCAAGAGAACUUCUCUUUUUCUGUUCAUGUUGGUUUGGUUUUCUCUUCAAACACCUAGGGAUCAGGAAAACUUUUUUAUUUUUCCAACGUAUAGAUGAGAAAUAAUGUGUUGUAUUUGUUUUGUGAGAUAUAAGGGGAUUUUUUUUUUGUAAAUAAUCUUCCACUAGGUAAUAUUCUCUGCCUCCCUGAUGUUAUUUAUCCCUUGCUGCGGAGGUGGCUGGUGAAAACAUCUAUAGGAUCAGAGUGGUGUUGCAUGUUUUCACUAAGUCGAAUAGCAUGUACUGAUAAUCAGCCUCAAAACAUUGCUAUGAAAUUUAUACUUAUUACGGUGUCAGUGCUGUUACUUCCCAUAUCUUGCAUUUGUUUCUACUGUCUGUCAUUACUAAUAAAACAACUCAACCUUACUGUUAUCAUAGCUCUUAAACCAGCUAAUCUUUAAGGAAAAAAACUGUAUGCUGGGGGGAAGAAUCAUAAUUUGCUCUAAGGAGAAAUCUAAGUUGCAUGGAAUAUGUGGAAGUGUGUUUUGUGUUAAUUCUGAGGGUAGCAGCUGAAGGCCAGUAGACCACAGAGCAAUGCUGCAUAAACAUAUAACAAGAAUUACAGUCUCGGUUCCAAAAUGCUUGGAGUUAAAGACCAAACAUCCCUGGGGAUGUAGGAAAUAAAUGCAGGGUCUGUAGAAAGCUCUGUGGGCUCUCACACUUUGCUGCGCUGCAAAUAAGAGGAUAAUAGCAAUGAGACAAAUGUGAAACGGUAAUUUGGAAAUUUGCAGAGAUGACUGUAAGGAAGCCCUUCAUUUUCCAUUCACAGUUUUUUUUUUUCUGCAGUGUGCUACCUGGCUUGACAAGGAUAAGGACACAUGAAUCUGAAGUAAGACUUGGACUGAGACAUUCAGAAGGUUAGGCUAAUUGCUGGGAACUAGCUACUAGCUACUUUCAUAUUGUUCUCCACCUCCCAUCACCCAGCUUUAAAACUCUGCCCUAAAUGUGUCUCAACAGAAAGAAUGAACCACUUAACUUCCAGUUCACUUCUUGCAAUGGUGACGUAGAGUGACAUCCCAGCCCCACUGCCUGUCUUUUGCAGGCUUGCUAUCUGUGUCGUCAUCCAAAACACACAUAGGUUGUGCAUAGCUAUUGGGAGAAUUAUCUUGGGCCAAUUUGGAGCAAUACUGUGCCUUAAUACAAGUAAUUACAGCGAUUAAUAAUAUCACAAUUUCAUGGACGUUUUUAAGCAUAUCAGCAAAAUGAAAGAAAAACGAACCAAACAAAAAGUUCCUCAUUCCUAAGACAAAAUGCAGUCAGACCCCUGAAGUGAAUAGGAAAAUUCCCAAGCUUCAAAAAAGCAUUUGACAUCUUUGUUAGUAAACAAACACUGCAUUUCUUGUGACACUGAGUUAGGGUACAGCGUGUUCUGUCUCGUUCUCCCUCUCCUUGUGCUUGUUUCUCUUCUCCUCCUGCCCCCAUAGCUGGCAAGCUGAUUCCAGAGGCUGAUGACAGCACCCGUGCCUCUUUCCCCUCGAGUGCACUUGCUCGGCAUCUGAGAGGAUUGCUUUCUUGCCCUUGGGUAGCCAGUCACGCAAUGUGAAAGAUGCAGGAGUUCACGGACUGCUGAGUGCUUAGAUGCUGCACUUUCUUAAGUGAAGGCAACUAGCGAGCAAGUGCAGCAAUUAGAAGUAAAAGAAAACAUUUUUUUUUUUUUUUCAGCGGGGAACAUUUGUUGACCUCACAGCUAUUACUUAAAAUGGGAAGGAAAAAAAGAAAAGAAAAUCUCUCUAUGGAUAGAUCUUUUUUUUAAAGGAGUAUUUAUGCUUUCCUCCAUUAAAUUCAUUGUAUUGUGCAAAGAGAACACCCCCACUUGGAUCUCAUUCUUUUAAAUACAACUUUUCUAACUUUUUUAAAAUAGGGAAGUGUUAUUAGAAAGGAGUUUUGACAAUGACACUGUGAUUUCUAGUGGUAUCUUAAUCUGCAUUUGCCAUGCCUUUCCUUGUGAAGGAUUUUGUAGAUAAUCCAGCAGCUUUUCCAUACUUAUAUUUUUUGCUUGGAAUACAAUCAAAAUAGUUUUCUAAAUGAGAAGUACAGUGUAAGUCACCUGUUCAGAUAACCCAAACUGAUUUGUCAUUUGGAGAAACACAGGCUAAAUGCUUAAACUUGUGAAAACCCCUUGAGAUUUUCACUGAACACAGAUGGUCGAGACCUUCGUUUUGUAUUUUUCCAAUUAAACUGUCUUGGAUCUCUGGCUGCUGCACGGAGGUAUUCCAUUCACCAGUAUUCAAAGAAAAGAUAUGUAUAUUCCUAACGCAGUUCUCUCUGCUAUUGAUUUUGAAAUUCACUGUCAAGAAUGGGAACUAAGUUUCUUUGUAUCAUCGAGUAAUAUCUUCUGAGGUUUGCACUGUGUUACUUGCAUGGCAUAAUGAAUAUAUCAAUAGAGUGAGUGAAACUGAAGCUAGAUCAAGCUAUAUUUUCCUGCUUCAGAAUAUCUGGAAUCUGGAAGUUUCAGAUCUGAUGUUGGUGUAGAAGCCUAAUGUGGUUUGCUGUAUUUGAGUCUGAUGGAAGUCCUGUCACUUGAGAUAGAAGUAUGAUGAUGGAGUAAAGCAGGACUUUCUGAAACAUUAAUCAAGUUCGAAAUGAUACAAGAAUGCAAAAGAAAAGCUUGGCUAUACAUAUUCUUGCAAGAGAGGAGAUGUAAUGCUGAGGUCAGGACAGCCCAGAAGCUUUAGUCUGAGUGUAGAAAGAGUGUCUAAACACCAAAGGAAGUCUUUAGUUUCUAGAAAGCGUUAUUUGAACUUUUUCAGUCUUAAAAUCUAAUUCAGACAUAAAAUGUUACCUCUUGAUGUCCUAUCUGAUGAGGCAAUGCUUCUGUUGCUGUGUUGGGCCUACUGGUUGUUGCUGGAUUGUAAGGCAGGAAAGAGGAACAGCUUGUGAAGAAUCCAAAUCUAGUGCUUGGUGGCUCCAAGUGCCAACAGCCUACAAAAUCUCUCUGAUCACUGUGGCAAGUAUGCCUUUGGAAUGACUGUCAUCUUGUCUCUCCGAAACUGAUGAGGUGGCAUCACAACUUAAGCUAUUUUCAUAUAAGUAGGUCCAGGAGACUAUGGGGAACUCUGUCCCUGGUGUUUCACUCCUGGGUAUUACAAGCACACACCCAACAUCAGCUUGAGAAGGCUCUUGCAGUCAAGUCUCGGGGAGCCUCACAGAUUCAUAUUACUGUACCUUAUGGGCUGCAUCAAGUUGUUGAGCUCCAGUUUGGCUUCAGUUAUUAAGUGAACUUUCCUCAUUUCAAAUUGUUCCCAAGACUCCUUUUCCCUUCAAUAACCUUAAAAAGUGAUCACAUUAUUCUCAAGUUGUUGCUUAUGGGCUCAAAUGGAAUUUAAACUGCCUGUCUGACAAUGAUGAAUGAAUCAGCUCCAAAUCCUUUGAUGUGGAUCAGCUAUGUAGCAUAACAAUAAUAUUGUUGCUUAACAUUUAUACUGAAGUAAUACCAUAAGGAAUCUUAGCCAUUCAGGGGCCUAUUUUGUUAAGUGCUGAGCAAAGCAUGUGGCAAAAUAGCAAGUCUUGUUCUGAAGACAAGACUUGCUAGAAGACAAGAUGUACCAAUUGGAAGAGACCAAGAGAAAGGAGUGGAAAGAUAUAAAUGAUAGUUGCACCUUUGUAGUACCAUACAGACCCUGCGUCCUGCUUGACUUUCUUGCACAGUUUUCUGCCAUGUUGAUUCUGGGUCUUGCUCAACACUUCCAUCAUUACUCAAAUCCAACUGUACUGAAACUGUCCUCUCCCUUGCUCUUGUAAUCGGGCUUAUUUGGAAAGAUUUUUUUUUUCUUUCUUCCCUCGACAACCUUUUUCAACUAACUCAUCCUUGCUGCUGUUCAUGGUCCCUUGUGUCUUACAGGGGAGGGGUUUUAAAUCAGUCAAUUAAUCUGUGGAACCAUUUUCUCUGGAAGACCAGUGCCACCAAUUACAAUAAGAACAGAUUUAAGCUUUUUAUUUCUGUUGAAUGCUUUUGAAUGUCUCAUCCUGGUUAUACAGUGAUACAAAUAUAUCUUUUAAAAACAAAACAAAAACACCACACAAGUGUUAAUAGGAUAUUUUAAGGUGUUUUUUUUUUUAAUCACAUAAACUUUGUACAUAUAUGUCCAUGUGCAUGAAGAUACUAGUAUCUAAAAGAACACUCGGGGUCUCAGGCUGUACUCCUGGAUAUUCUUAUGUUAAGGUUCUGUAUACGGGCAUAAAUGCUUCCCUGUACCCUGAGUAUGUUGUAACACACUUACAUAGUUCUGGGAUAGCAUGUGCUGCAGUGUUUUUGACUCGGGAAUCUUGAGUUCUCUUAGAGAUUUUGGAGCAGAAUGAAGUGUACUCGCAUACACUUUGCUCCUCACUCCAGCAGUGUUUGAUCUGCCUAUCACAACAUCUUCACGCUGUUUAUGUCCCACUCCUGUCUGUCUUGUAAGAUGCAAGGAGAAUGUGUGGUGUCCAGACACUGAAUCAUCUAACAGCCGGAAAUUACAGUAUCUACAGUUUAAAAAAUCCAUCUAUGUAAUUAGUUUCUCUCAAGAGAAUCUAACUGGACUAAAAAAUGCAAACAAUGUGCCUGAAUGGCAAAGCAAUUUCCAAAAUACCUCCUGACCUGGAAACAGAAUAUAUAUAACAGGACUUGGCCUCUGUGUUGCUGCUUACUUGUGAAGCAGUUGGAUAUCAUCUUGUCACAGAAUAUAAAUAUUAUUUUUUUGAAAUGCGUUCUUCUGACCUGAAUGGCUUGUGCUAUAUUAUUUAACAUAAUUUAUUUUACUAUGUGAGUCUGUACUCAGCCAUAAGCACUUGACUACUGUCAAACAGAAACGGGUCCAGGUGCUAACUUUUAAAUGCCCAAGGAAACAGAGUGAGUUAUAUAUAAUUAAAAUGUUUGUGAAUAGUUCCAAAUGGCAAAUGAUUUGUUUUUCUUUUCUGCUUUUCUUUCUGUCUCUCAUGUGAAGAGUAUAGGAAAAGACUGUAUCUUGCCCUGAAAUGACAAGGUAAUUGGUGUUAAUUCAUGAUUACUGUGUCUCGAUUUGGCAUAUCAAAAUUAGAUAGAAUUACUUUAAAGCAGAGUAAGGAAUGCCUUGUCAAAUCCCUCAGACAUGCCUUUUUGGACUGUCUUGCACUCUCCAUAGCUGCAGAGUAGCUAUACAUUUGGCCAUUUUAGCAUUUACCUGCAAUGAGUCUGUUGGAAACCACAUUUAAGUGUGCUUUGCUUAUUGAUAAUUUUAUGGAGGGAGAAUGGUUUCUGGAUUAGCUAGGGAAAGUGGUGUGUUUCUAUCAUGUAAUUACAGGAUUACUGCACAUUCAAUUGGAUUCCUGGGCAAUUCAAACACAAAUUGUUUUUGCAUGUAAAGAAAGCUAUUAUGGGGCUGGAUUACAUUAAAGGGAAAAGAAAAAAGCAGUAGAUAAAACUGAGCAGCAGAACAUGAAGGAAUAGUGAGAAAAAUAAAAAUAUAUAUGCCAGUAAAUUGCGAAAACGGUUGCUGUGAUUACUUGAGAAGUAUGUCAAAACACAUUUUGAAAGAUGACGAUAUGCCACUCUUGUGAAUACUGGAGUAUUGAAAAAGAAUGAAAUAAUGGGAGGAAGGGAUAAAUUCCAAACACAGUUUCAUCUUUUAAAGCAUAUAUUGUGUCCUGUAUGUCCAAGUUCAACACUGUAUUCUGAGAGAUGCCUUUCGGCCACCAUAGAAUUUAGUCAUGAAAACAUACAGUGGUGUUUGACAAAAUGUGCAAGAAGGGGAAAUCUCGUUGCAGUUUAUUGAAGAUCGAUGGUAAUUUAGAUCCAGUUCAGAAAAGGCGCUAUGUUCUUUAAUCAUUUCUUGGCUAGUGUGCUAAUAAAAAUGCAGUGUAUAGUGCUAAUACUGUAUUUCAACCAAUUUAGUAACAAACAAUUGCUUUGUGAGAAACAAAAGGGAUUCAUCCUUAAGAUGGAUAUAUGGUUGCAAUUAUGAUGGUAACGAAUUGGGCCUUAAUUGUAUUUGCUAAGCUGCAGGAAACAUUACAAAAACUUUAGUGUUUUGAGAGGAGAAUGAGGCAUAUAGGAGGCAAAUACUUCUUAACUUAAAGUCAGAUUUAGAUAUGGAGAGUAUUUAUACGUAUUACUGAGCCUAAAUAGUAGGAGAAAGCUCUGAAAAAAGAUACUUGGCAUUGGUGAGAUUGUCUUCUCAACGGAAAUUUGUAAUCAAUGGAAAUUAGGCUCCAUGAUGCCUAAAGUACACCUAAUGAGGCAAAUAUAAACUCCAGAGUAACUAAGGUAGAUUAGACAACGUUGUCUUGGUUUGUGGAAAGAAUCUUUAAGAUCAAUAUUCUUGAAGCAGAAGAAUAAACCUCCACAAUAGGCAAGUAGUGAAGCAAGCAUGGAAGAAGAUAUUCACUGAACAGAAAACUCCUUGCUGAGCUUAAAUACACAAAGUCCACAAAGGUAGAAAUCAAAGAAUCAUAGGACAUUCUGAACUGGAAGGAAUGCAUGGGCUCUCCAACUCUGGGCUCUACGCAAGAACACUGAAAGUUCAAAACUCUUUGUAUGAGAGCAUUGUCCAAACACUUCUUGAACUCUUGCAGGCUUGGGGCCAUGAGCAAAACACAGCCCAUUAGUGGUGCCUCUUGCUUAGGAACUGUGCAGCCAUAGAGGGGGGGCAAUGUCAGGCCCUGGGCAAAAUGGCCACUCUGAACACACCAGUCCAUGAGACAGGAAAGCAGGGUAAAAACUGAUGACUGUGCUGACUACAACACCAACCACUGUUGUCACUGGCUACUGCAGUAGGGAGGCCAUCCCAGGGAGGACAGUGCUUCUCUUCUCAGUGGGCUGCUGCACGGGGUCUUCCCUCUCCUUGCUCUCUGUAUCCUGACCUUCCCUCUGGAAGCAGCAGGUCCUCCUCUGCCACCAGCUGUGAGUUCCAUACAUGCAGCUCUGUGUGAGGCAACCUUUCCAAGUAUCAGCAGAGAUCUCUUCCAGGGCCAGCCUUCUUGUGAGCCCAUCUCAUGACUCCUCAAACUUGUGCAGCACCGGGGUGAGGGUGGCUGACUUCUUUACCAGGUGCUGGAAGAGGUUGAAGGGGGCCAGCUCUUUGGAAGCCGGAAACAAGACCAUUUCCUCAGGCACCCUCUUGUAACCUAAGAUGAAGCAGUUGAGGUGUUUCUUCUCCAGGCAGCAGCAGAGGUUUUGCAGGAGAUAUUCCAGCCACAGGGGCAAUCCCACUUGGGGCUAUGGUCAUCAGGUGGCAAAUCACAACUGUCUUCAAGGCUUGGAGGGAAAAGCCUGUACCCACCAGCAGAUGGGUGCAGGCCUGCAGAUAGGUGAGGUGGAAGCUGUGGUGCCAGGCAUACCUGGCCUUGUGCUUGGUGAACUACAUCUCAACUCCAGUGCAGUUUUUUGGCUGUGCUGUUCUGCUCGAGCAGCUGGCCUCAGCCUACUUGAUGCUCAGAAAAGUGCCUGAGACACUGAGCUCCACCUGAACCCUCAUCUCAAUAGAGAAGGUGCUACUGAAUAUAUUCUUACCUACCAGAAACAAAAGGCAGCUAUGGAAAAAAAGCCUUAGUGAUAAACAACAGCUUGAAAAAAAGUCAUAUUUAAAGGAAAACUGUUUUUUGCUGUUGAUUUAGCUUAUAGACACACACACAAAAAGACUAUUAACAGAGAUUCAGAGCUAUUAACAAUGCUAUCCCUUUUACUUAAGUAACAAAAUACUUAAAAACAUACUUUUCAAGAUAGAAACAUAGAAACGUAACCUGAGCCUAUGCAAUGCACAGGAAAGUGUCAGAGUUGUGAAGCUACGCCCCAAGUAUCAUCUCAAUGAAGGUGUUCAUGGAGGGAGUGGUCAGCUUGAUCUUGCAUGAAUGGCAGGACGGGAGCACCUUCAGGUGGCAGUUGUACGACUGAGGCAGAUGCUUCCAGGCUGAAUUUUGCCUGGUUUUGGAACCAGCACAUGCUUUUCUCCAUGUGCAGAUAAGAGCCUGUGCAGAAGGUGUUGAGGAAGUUGGGCUCCUAUUUUUCACUCAGCUCCUCCUGAAUGUGGUGGAGAAAGCAGUGCAUGUUCCCCAGCAGCUGCUCUCUCACGCAGGUGCGCUCCAGCUCCAUGCGCAGACAGGACUUCCUCGCCAGAAUCUCCUCUUCAUCUCCCAGCUCUACGUGGAAGGUGUGCCUGGGGGGAGGCCUCAGGGGCAUGAGCAGGCAGUAGAGGAUGUUGUCUUGGUGGGCACUCCAUCCUUCGUAGAUGCAGGGCACUCCAAUGGCCGGCUGCAGCCAGGGCAUGAAGCUGUGGCAUGAUUGCCCUCAGCAGGUGUGAAGGUCCUCCACCAGCUGGCACUUGUCAGCCAUGUACGGUGCUGGCCACUGGGUGCUGUUGGUCCAAACUCUACCUAGGUCACGUGUCUCAUUCGAGUUACUGCCUUCUUUGACCUUCACGUCCUCUUCCUCCUCCUCCUUGCUUCUGGAGCUUUCCUGGUUGCUGCUGCUGCAGACCAGAUUACAGUCCAUGUUCCUGAGGCAGAAGCAGAGUCCAAAGAAGACAUCAAGGAUUGCAGCACAGGCCCAAAUCUUGCUGCUCCUCUCUGGCCUACAUCCCCUUUUCUUGUUUCACCAACAGAGGCCAAAGAGCAGGAAAAGGACUCCAGCAAAGGCCCAGAGCUGCCAGUACUGUAGAGCAGCAACGAGCAGGGCUCUCUUGGCUGCCUCGCUCUGCCCGUGGCUCCCCUGCUCCAUGCUGUACAGUGGCUGAGCCAUGUCCAGACUCAGCUGUUCUGCACACAGCCACACACACUCAUACAUAUCACCAUGCAUGAGUUGAAUUCCCAAAGGGAUGAUUCCCAUCAACACCAGAGUGAUGAAGACCACCUGAGCCAUAGCCGCUAGCAGGUGCGUACUGCACUCGUUGAAGGCCUAGGCCAAAGUGCUGCAGUGCUGCCUCUUACAGCCUCCUGACAUGGCCACCAGUGUGAGUUGUCUGCUGCUGUCACAGAUACAGCCAUAUUACUGCACUCCUCUGCCCUGCUCCCUCCUCUCCUUGAUCCAUUCAUGUUAGCAUUUAUCAAAAUAUACAGAUUUUAAGUCACUUUUUAUUACAAUUCCAAUGAUUUGUACUAAGUUUUUAAUAGAAGGCAUCU
rnacentral:lncRNA from 1 species